rnacentral:lncRNA from 1 species
GUUUAGUUCAAUAGCUCUAUGAAGCUUAUUUUUUGUGCAAAACCAGCUAGAGUUCACUGCAGUUAGUGGUAAGUAGAGUCAAAUGAGGAACCUAUGGUUUUCUGGCUUCAACACCAUACCACAUUGAUGUCUUAUCAUAUAGAAAAUAAGUGUCAUGGCCUUAUGCAAUUUAUAAUCCAGAAAAGAAAUCCAAAUGUCUCUGUAAGAUGCAGAGGUGGUGCCACAUAUUUUCCUUUAAAUACUAUAAAAUAACUCCAUGUAUACAGUUAUGAACAGUCAGCCACACUGUUGGGAGGACAUUGUUUUGUUUCCCCUGGGCGGUGAUGUAAAAAUGGAGAUGCUACUUUGCUAACUUUUUUUUUUUUUCCAGCAGACAGUGUAACAUGUCACACGGAUUCAACCUCUUCACUCGCUGUGCAAAUUUGGUAAGAUAUUUUAUUUAUCUUAGGCUCAGUUUCCAUUUGCAAAUAUGAGACAAUGAUCUUUUCCUUGUAGGCCUGCUCUAAGAACUUAAGAGUUACUUGGAUUGUGCGUAGUCCUCAAAAAAAGGGUGGUUGUGAUGGUUUGUGGCAGUCAUUAUUGACAUGUAUUUCCAUGCAUUUGGAGAACUUUGAUGGGAGAUCUGACUGUGACCCUUAAUGGGGCUUCUUCUAUAUUCACUGACCAAUGUUGCUUGUUAUGGUUUGGAUCUAGAAGUGUCCCCCAAAAGCUAUGUGCUAGGAAACAGAUCCGUGUUCAGAGGUGAAAAGAUUGGGGAAUGAGGCCUAUAACUUCAUCAGUGGAUUAAUCAACUUGAUGGAUUAGUGAUUUGAAUGAACUACAGGGUGAUAACUGUAGGCAGGUGGGAAUGGAAAGAAAUAGGUCACUGGGGGCGUGCCUUUAGGCACUAUAUCUUGUCCCUGGCUCUGCAUGCUCUCUCUCUCUCUCUCUCACUCUCUUUCUCUCUCUCCUUCCUGAGUGCCAUGAACUGAGCAGUUUUUGGCCUCUACCACCCACUUCCACCAUGAUGUUCUGCCUCACCUCAAACCCAGAACAAUGAAGAUGACUGACCAAGGGCUGAAUCUCUGAAACAGUAAGCCAAAAUGAUAUUUUUCCUUUUCUAAAUUGAUCUUUUGUUGUUGUUGUUGGUACUGGAAAUUAAAUUCAGGGGUGUUCAACCACUAAGCCACAUUCCUAUCCCUAUUUUGUAUUUUACUUAGAGACAGGGUCUCAAUGAGUUGUUUAGAGCCUCACUUUUGCUAAGGCUGGCUUUGAAUUUGUAAUCCUCCUGCCUCAGCCUUCUGAGUUGCUGAGAUUACAGGUGUGCACCAUGGUGCCUGAACUAAGAUGUUCUUGUCAGGUAUUUUGGUCACAGUAAUGUAAAGCUGACUAACAGAGUGCUGGGCCGCAUGAUGUGUGCACCAAAGUGCUAAGUAAUUGGGUAUGUAUAGAACAGAUAGCAGGGAGGGGAGAUAAUGGAAAGAAGGAACCAAGAGUUCUUCUAAAAGAACAGCUCGCCAUUGGUAUUUGCUGGCUCUGUAUCUGUAGAUUCAACCAACUGCAGACCAAAAAUAUUGAAAGAAAAAUUGUGUUUGACUGAACAUGUACAGAUUUUCCUUUUCAUUAUUCCCUAGACAAUGAAGUAUAACAACUAUUCACAUAACAUAUACAUUAUGUUAGAUAUUAUAAGUAAUCUGUGCAGAUUAUAUGCAAAUGCUGUUCCAUUUUACAUAAAGGACUUGAAUAUUGGGAUCCUGGAACCAAUCUACCUGAUACCAAGGAGCAAUGACCUUUGCAAAAUCAAGCCAAGGAAAUGGCAGGGAUCUAUGGAAAGGAAAUGGGAAGGGGCUGGCAUGAGACCUGAAUUGUUUUUUUUUUUUUUUUUUUUCUUCUCUUAAUUGAAUAAUUCCUGGACUACUGGUCACAGAAUUCUCCUUCUGGGGAAUUCUCUUUCAAAGAACUCGCCUUACAAACACAAAUUACAAAAUAAUGGCAUAUGUUUUCUCUCCCUUAUUUCAUUCUUUAAUGUAAUACCUUUAAAGAAGAAGCUGUUUCACGUAAACCUGAUUAACUCUGAAGAGAGUGAUAAUCCAUCCAAACCAAUCCAAAUGAAGGUAAAAGGAAUAAUCAGGCUUCCAUUAUGCAAAAUGGUGCUCAGUUAAUUUAGUACAUUGCGCUGAAUAAUAAGCUGUUAGGCUCCACAUGGCUUUUUUCACGUUAAAUCAAAUUGCUUAUUGCUGCUAGAGCUUAUUUCAUAUCGCAUAAAAUUUGGAUAUAUUAUAAUGGAGUAGAUAUUAGUCCAUUAUAAGAGACAGGUUUAAGUGCUUCAUUUAUAGAAUCCCUCCACUUGGAAAAUGGUAAGGGAGAAGAAGAAAUGCAAACAAGGUAAUGGACAGAGGGGAUUUAUGUACAUUGCUUGAUGGGCCAGCUCUGCCUCGGUGACUGUGGUUGCUGUGCACAGGACCCAGUGCGUUGGAGAAAAAUCAGCAUUUCUAGUGGAAAGAAAAUCCAAAGCGAAUUUAUGUUCUUUCUCAGGGAAGUGUUGACAUUUUAAUUACUUUCUGUUUUCUUUGGAGCUACAUUUGAGAAUUGGAAGCAAGUUAGAAAAAUAAGAAUUAGCUUUAUUAGAAAUAAGAGGAAUUGACAUGUAGACCCCAGUUGGAAAGGGUUGAGGCUGGGUUCUUGACAAUAUGAAGUCUGCAGCAGGACCCAGAAAGCCAAGAAAACUCAGCCGCUCGAAGCUAACUGGAAGAGUUCCUGCUUGGUCAGGGCUUAUCAUCCCGGAGAGCAGACUGUGCCUCUGUGUGCAAUCUAAUCUUUUCCGGAUGUGCUUCACUUUUUAAUGUUUUUUAUUUUUCCUUUAAACUUUCGUCUUUCUGUAAACAGGGGUUUGUGAGGGUAAGUAAGAUCGAGAUACAAAAAAAGAAAAUGGUCAGAGGGAGUUGGAAUGAGCUGGGGAAAUUGAUAGUCUUAGAAUUAAUUUGGAAGAUAAUAUAAUUGUCUUUUGAUAUUUCAUAAAAGAAAAAUAUCUGUGGAGGCGAGGGUGGAACGGAGUAAUUGGCUUUAGGAGAUAUGAUAUAUUUGCACUUUUCCUCCCUGCACCUGGAGUCGCCUGGAAUUGAUUAAAUAAGUAUUUAACAAACCAGGGCGCCUACAUGUAUGUUCCAGGAUCAGCAAUCUAAAAAUAGUAACUCAGCACAAGAUGGAAAUUAAAAACCCUCUAAUCAACAUCUUUGUGGUGCUUGAAAGGGUGGUAACCUGAGGGUGUCAGCCCUGCCUGCCCCUUGCCUGCCCCCUCCCCUCCCCUCCCCUCUUCUCUCUCUGCUCCCUCUACUGACAUUCGUUUGUCCCCCUUAUAUUAUUUUUCCCCUUCCCCUCACUUCCUCUUGUAUGUACUUUUGUAUAACUCUGAGGGUCUCCUUCCAUUUCCAUGCAUUUUCCCUUCUCUCUCCCUUUCCCUCCCACCUCUCAUCCCUGUUUAAUGUUAAUCUUCUUCUCAUGCUCUUCGGCCCUACUCUGUUCUUAGUUACUCUCCUUAUAUCAAAGAAGACAUUUGGCAUUUGUUUUUUAGGGAUUGGCUAGCUUCACUUAGCAUAAUCUGCUCUAAUGCCAUAAGCUGGAUUUUCUUGAUUCCAUUUCCUGAGGAAUUCUCAAACAUAUUCAUCAUCUUGUCCUUUGUAUUUCCUGUAAAAUUACAGUUAGAGUUGGAGAUUUUAUCUGAUUCUGGUUCCACGUUUUGGUAAUACUACUUCUUAAGUAGCGGUAUUUCCGUAAAUAGAAGUGUGUGUGUAUGUGUGUGUGUGUGUGUGUGUGUGAGAGAGAGAGAGAGAGCGAGAGAGAGAGAUUAUCAACUCUUAAAAAUUUUUAUAUGAAUCCAUUAAUUCAUUAGUUAUAAAAAUUGUUGAUAUCUUAAUUUUAUAAUUUUUUUUAAAAAAAUAUAUCUUAAUUUUAUAAUUUUUUUAAAAAACCUUUAUUUUCUAGAGCAGUUUUAGGUUCACAAGAAAUUGAAUGGAAUGUAAGUAACAUUCCCACAUAAUCCACUCCAUAUAAGCUCAUUAUCCCCCAUGACCAGCAUCACUCCCCAGAGUAGGGGCUUAUUUAUGAAAACCAAUAAACCUGUAUUGACCCAUGCUUACCACCCAGAGUUGAUAUUUUCAUUAAAGCUCACAAUUGUACAUUCUAUGUGUUUUGACAAAUAUAGAAUGAUACAUAUCCACAAAUGAUUUUCUUUUCAUUUAUUGAAUUUCCUCUAUGGGGAGAAACUUCACCCCUCAUUAACAUUUGGUUAGCUGAAGUAAAAGAAAUCCAGAUGAAUGUAUUCUCAUUAUUAUUAUUAUUUAUUCUAGCACAGUCACUAGCAGAGGAAGGGGAUACAAUACACACGUCUUCAUAAAUUGAAUUGUAUUUGAUUCAUAUUAGAAUUUGCUCCAAAGAACUUGUACAAGACAAAGGAGGACACCAUGGUAUUAACAGAGACUAGAACUUAAGUUCCAUGAAAAAGCUUAAAAAGAAUCAAAUCUCAGUAAAGGCUCUCAGUACUAAAGUGAACACGGAGGCACUAGUGAAUCACACAAUUCUGGUACGGCCCGUGGCCAAGUCUCAUCAAUAUUCACCAAAGUAUUCUUUCCCCAACACAGGGAAAGAAAGAAAGAAAGAAAAGAGGGACAAUUUCUGAAUCACUCCCUCCAACCACGGAAAUGAUUUUAAUUACCAAUUCAUCUGUUGGCAGACUCUUCUGGCAGAUGUACCUGCAAGUUGGAAAGAUAACAAAUGAACCAAUUCCUUACUCCAGAGUUGACACUGAUAGUUCGGACUGAAUUUGCUCUCAGAAAAGAAUCCUGGGCAACAAUACAUCUGGCACUCUGCUCGAGGAAUUUGUCAUGUCGUUGACAUGUUCAGCCUCCAUUGUCCAUACCACCCCGGCAGCAGGUCCUUUAUGUUUCAGUGAAAUUGCAGUCUGAAUUAAUAUAAUUAGAAUGUAACUGCUAUUCACUGCACACACACUCCUUAUUUCCAGGAGUACAGAUCUGAUAGCAUGUCUGUGCUCAAAAUCUUUCCAUGAUGGCUGAAGGGGAGCAAGCAGAGAGGGGAAUGAUAGAACACUCACUAGUUCAUCAACCGUAUGAGCUAAUGGAAAUAUAGGAGGAGAGAAAGAAAGUCCUGACCUUGGCAUGUCUAAAGAUAAAUAUCUGUCAAGUUUCCUAGCCUGGAUAGCACUGUUAUAAAAUAUGUACUAUAGUCCGUCUGAAUUGAGAGAAAGAAGUGAACUAGGAAAGACCAGUUAUCUUCCAAAAGACAAUUAUAGUAAGUAGAGUGGAUAAUUCAGGGAUAGAAUUACAGAGUGAAGAGGUGGAUGGACAACUUCCUUCUUUCUUUCAUGUUUUGCUUUGCGCAGUGGAUGUCGCUCACCAAGCAACUGUCAUCAAGUGAAUAAUGAUUUUUUUUUUUACUAGAAUCUUGAAUUUCAGCCUUCAUUAAUUUUCUGUUCUUACAAAUUCUUGAUAUGGUAGAAAAGGACAUCAACAACUUUUUUUUUUUUAAAUAAGAUGGACUCACAUUUUCUUAAUUGAGUUUGAGUUUUCACUUGGAUGAUCCAUUGGAGGGGAGCACUGCCCUGACAUUAUCAGUAUGUUGGCUGGAGUUCAUGGUUUUGGCCUCUUUUCUUCUCUGGAGAACUGUGAAACUUGUGUACUGGAUGCUGUGUUCCUCCAAAUUCUACAUGGAAUCCCUAACCUCCUGUAUGAUGGUAUUUGGAGGUAGGGACCUUGGGGAAACCAUUGGAUUUGAAUGAGGCCAUGAGGAUAGGCCCCCAUGAUGAAAUGUGUGUCCUUAUAAGAAGAGGAAAAAGAGAUCAGAUUGCUAUCUCUGUCCCCCUCCACCAAAUGAGAAUACAGCUAGAAUGCAACUGUCUGCAAUCCAGGAAGACAGACCUAACAAAGGACAUCAACUGACUUGUACCUUGAUCUAGGAUUUCCCUGCCUUAAAUACUGUGAGAAAUAAUUAUCUGUUGCUUAAGUUACCACCCGAUCUGUACUAUUUUGUUAUGAUGGCCUGAGCUAAGACAGUGCAUGGUAUAAUUUGAGCAUGUGCCCUAAAGGUUCAAGUGUUGAAGGAUUGGCCUUCAAAGUGGUAGCAUUGAGGUGGUAGAAAUCUUUUAGAUGUAAGUCUCAGUGCAAGGUGAUUAGGGCUGAGGGAGGCAUUGUCCUUGGAAAGGAUUAAUGCUGGUUUUACAGAGUAGUCAGUUUUUGAGAGGGUGAGUUGUUAUACAAAGAGCAAACCUGGAACCUGAAUCCCUCUUGCUUUCUGUCUCACUAUGUGAUAUCUUCCAUAUACUCUCCUGCAAUUGUUAGCAUCUUGAAAACAUCAACAAUGAUUCCUUGCCUUCGUGCUAUCCUGUGAAGCAUUAACCUUCUCUCCCUAAAUUUGAAGGAACUGUCCACCAUUUUACAUUAACAAGCCUAGGGGUUUUCAGAAUUAAGUGUGUUUCGGAAUCAUAUGUGGUGGCUGGGGGCAUUGGAAGAGGAUUUAUUAAAAUGCCAAUGCCUGAAUUCCUUCUGGAUCCACAGAAUCAGAGUUCUCAGCUGUGGUGCCCAAAUAAUGUGAGUUGAAAUCCACUCCAACUGCUUUGAACUUGACACCUCUAGGCUGAUAUUCUCUUUCACAGAUACAAUAUUCAAAAUUACUAUACUAGCAGAUAUUUCUAUAGAUGAUAAGCAUCAUUUCCAAAAACAAAUAUAUUUAAUUUAUAUAAGUGGAGGUAUGUUUAAGACAUUUUGAGAGGGGCCUAUCAGAAUACUUGUGGGGCUACUGUGACCCUCUCCAGUGUAUACAUUCUUUUUCUCCUUUGUUAACAGCAUGCUUAGUUUCCCAGUCUGACUGUUCACUCUGGGUUAGAUAGAAAAUUUGACAUCUCACAUUUUCAGGCAAUUUACUUUGCAAAUUAACACAAUAGAGAUUUAUAUUUUAAUGUUGAAAUCCUUUAAUAAAGUAAAUAAUUGUCUCUCUUUCCAGAAUAUUUGUCUUAUUACUCUGGAUGCUUAAUAAUAGGAUUAUGUGUUAUAAACAUGUGUUUAGGCAUCCAAAUAUAUGCACAAAUGGAAAAUAUCAAGCUUACAUUCCCCAAAAGUGGACACUCAUGAGGUCUUGCCUUUGUUUUCUCUAAGGACUAUCCAAAUCAGAGUUCAAUGAAGGAAGUUUACAGAAAUCUUGUCCCUAGUCUCCUAGUUUCCACCCACAGCAGGCUCUGUUUAGUGGCCUUCAGAGAAUUCUCAUGGGGGUGGAUAGGAAGUGGAUUGGGCAUGGACUUGAGCUCCUAUCUGCUGUUUGACCAAUGGAUUUUUGGAUAGACUUGUCAUGCAAAAAAUAGCUUGAUUUAUUCCCGUGUGGUAGUAGAGACAGACUCCCAGGACCCGGAUGCCCCUUAACACCCCAGAGGACAUUAUUCUGAAUAACUCAGUAAACUGAUUAGUAGAGCUACUAGGCAUGAUAAGUAUAUUCCAAAAAAAGAUCUUUUUCCAAUUACAAAAGUAGUGCAUACUCCUUGAAAAGAAUACUAGAGGGGAAGGGAGAAAUGUAGGAAAGAUAAGAAGGGAGAAAGUCCAAGCGAAGUGCUGACUUGACAGUCGAAGCCCUGUGGACUAGAACCCAGCCUUCCUUGUCGUCUGCUUUUGGGUAAGUUACACCACACGUCUGAGCAUCCUUCUCAUCUGUGAAAUGGGAACCACGUCUCUCGCAGAGUCAGGGUUUGUUAAAGCACACUCUGAGGAAGGGUUUAGUGAAAUGACUGGAGUGGAGGGAGCAGCUGUAACACUAUAUACCAGAGAGAACAGUGUUGUCAAGGCUGGUAGCAAUGGGUGGUGGUUACUGAGUAUGUCCUUACUGGGCAAGCAGACUUGACUUUGAACCCCUUUUGCUUGUCGGCAGAGUUAUUGCUAUUGGUAUUCCUAGUGUUCUAGUCAGCUUUUUCAUUGCUGUGGCUAAAAGAACUGAACAGAACAGUUUUAGGGGAAGAAAAGUUUAUGUGGGGGCUCACAGUUUCAGAGAUCUCAGUCCAUGGGCAGGAGGCUUCAUUCCUCAGGGCUCAGGGUGAGGCUGAACAUCAUGGCAGAGAGUGUGGUAGAGGAAAGUGGCUCACAUGAUGAUCAGAAAGCAGAUAAAGACUCCACUCUCCAGAUACAAAUUAGAUACCCCAUAGCUCUGCCUGCAAUGAACCACUUCCUCCAGCCACACCCCACUGUCUCAGUUUCCCACUCAAUUAAUCCCAUCAGGGAUUAAUUAGUUUACUGCUUAGGUUAAGGCUAUAACCCAAUGGUUUUGUCCUCUAAACCUUCUUGCAUUGUGUAAUGUAAGUUUUUGGGGGGAUACCACAUCUAAACCAUAUCACAUAGCAUUAAAUCUGUAUCUUUUUUUUUUUUUUUUUUGUACCAGGGGUGCUUAACCACGGAGUGACUUCCCCAGCUCUUUUUAUCUUUUGUUUUGAGACAGGGGUCUCUCUAAGUUGCUAGAGUCUCACUAAGUUCUCACUUGCAAUCCUCCUGACUCAUCCUACCGAGCUGCUGAGUGUAUCACAUUUUUUAAAGAAAUUUUUGAGCUCUCUUAAUAUUAUGAUUAUCAAAAAUAGAUUUCAAUUACGUCUGUUUUCACGAUGUAUUAACUGAAAUCUCCUAAUCCUUGCCGUAACCUUACAAGCAUUUUUCUUAGUUUGUGAGAAUGAUUAAAAAAUAAAAAAUAAAACCCUCAGAAACAAUUAAUGUUCCUAAGAAAGUAAAAAAAAAAAAUCUUUGCAGUAAUGUUUCAUUUUAUCGUCAUAUUUUUCCUGAGAAACCAAUGAAGAAUGGCAGUUUUAUAUGUAAAACAGUAGUUAGCCUUUAUACAGCUGACAUUUUUCUAAAAGCCUAGAAAUAUUUCACAUUUGAAGAAAAACACCCGGUUCCCAUGUUGGAUCCGAUUAAAAUUCAAAUCUAUAUUAACAUCUCAUUACUGUUUGAAAAAGCCAACUGCACACUAAUGGAAAAUGCCCAGUGUCUGCCAGCCCUGCUUUCCCCUGGUUCUUUAGCAAGGCUGUCCUGGGACCUGGGAGGGCGGGGCCACAGUUACAUCCUUGUUAAAACAGCAGCCUGAAUGCUGGCCCUCAGUUUUGGUUUUUCCUUCCUUUUCCCUCUUCCAUCCCUGCAUUGUUUCAGCUGCCAGUCUUGCAGUAUUUUCUUUCAUGCAAGGGAAAAGGAAGGGCAAAAAUGACUUUGAAAGAAUAACAUUUCUUUCUAUGCACUUAAAUAGAACACUCAACACAGAACAUCCUGUGUUUCCUUUUAAUGGAUGACACGCUGACUUGGUGGUGAGCUGACUAAACACCAGGGCUUGACGUUCAGAUAGGUGUUCUUGCAGUCGCACUUACCCGCUGGAGAACAUUCUGCUCGGCUAUUUUAAGUGACAAUCUGUCUUUUUCCAGGCACUCUGGUUCUUCUUAUCCCCCGAUGACUUUUCUCUGUUAUACUUAUCACCUUCUGACGUGUGUUUAUUAUGGUUUUUGUUUAUUCUCUGACUUCCCUGGUCAUAGGUAAAUAUUACAGGAGCAAGCAUCUCUGUUUUGCUAGCUGUUGGAUUCCCUCUUCUAAAAACAGGACCAGGCCCAAAGUAGGCACUUAAUAAAUAUUUGCAGCUGCAACAAAUAAACUAGUUCCUACCUCAGUGUUCUCUCCUGAACAAUUGGGGGAAAAUAAUAGAUAAAAAAUAUGUUAUGAACACAUUCUAUAAAUAUAUUUAAGCCUAGUAGAUACAUUGGAGAUUACAGGUCUAUUUGGAGUGUAGUUGAAUAAGAAAUAAAUGAGUUGGAUGAAAGAGCAACAUUCCCUUGUCACUCUGUUCUCCUACUCGGCUUUAUUUUUCUUCCAACACUGAGUCCCCACAUUCAGUAUAAUACAUAGUUCUUUGUUUUUGUCUGCCUCUCCUUAGUAAAAUGUUAAGUUUUUUUUUUUUUUUUUUUUGUAUGGGGGUGGGUACCAGGGAUUGAACUCAGGGGCACUCGACCACUGAGCCACAUCCCCAGCCCUAUUUUGUAUUUUUUUAGAGACAGGGAAUCACUGAGUUGCUUAGCACCUCUGUUUUGCUGAGGUUGGCUUUGAACUCUCAAUCCUCCUACCUCAGCCUCCAGAGCCACGGGGAUUAUAGGCAUGCGCCACAACACCCGGCCAAAUGUUAAGUUUUAUAAGGGCAGGAUCUUGGGUGUUUUGUUUCCCAUUGCUUAGGCCAGUGUGUGACACAGAGCAAGCACCAAAGACACAAAUAUGCAAAUGUUUCCGUGAGUGUAUUCACUCCGGACUGUAUCUACCCCUGACCCUGACUCGAUCAGGAUUUGUGGUGUGAUUGGUCACUAAGAUCUAGGUACUGCUGAGGCAAAUGAUGGAUGGGGAGAUGAGAAAGGAAACAAGAUGAUCAAGAUGAUACUGAUAUUUUAAGUAUUUCAAUCACAGGGACAACUAUGGGUAUGGUGGGAGAACAGACAGGACCUGGCACUUAGUAGCUGGUCAGUAACGGUUAGCUAUCAUCACCAUCAUUAUCAUAAACCACAUUAGCAUCCAGGUGUUGGCACAUUAGAGCUUAUGGGCCAAAUCCAGCCUGUGGCCUAUUCUUAUAAAUAAAGUUUUAUUGAACAUAGCUCAUUCAUUUAUUUUCUAUGAAUGUUUUCAUGUCUAUGGCUAUUUUCAUUCUAAAACAGCAGAAUUGAGUAGCUACAGAGACUGUAUGGGUUGCAAAACCCAAAAUAUUUAGCAUCUGGCCCUUUACAGAAAAGGUACUUGAACACUCAUCUAGAAUAUUGGUCUGUCUCCAAUAUAACUAAGCCUAGAGCCAAUCAGGCAUGGUCCAUGGAUAAGUUUGAUCCUCAUUCUGAAAUGGGAGUACAGAAACUAAGUAUUUACAAACUUCUAUAACAAUUUGUCAUUGAAAACCCAGUGAAUGAUUUUGGUUUAUACAAAAAUGUUGCUUUAUGACAGUUUGGAAAUUGAAAAGGAUCUGCCCUUUCCUAGAGGGAUGGGUCUGUUUUGUAAUGGGAUGUUGAUCAUAUCAGUAACUUUAGUAAGUUAUGUUCAUGUUGGUUUUAGAUGAAAACAUCUGGAAGCACAUCAGGUGGGAGUGACAAGCGUGUCUUAAGAUUGCAAGUGACCUGGGAAGGUUGAUGAACAAGCACAUUAAUAACAUCGUGAAAAUGGAUUUUCUAUGUAGAUGAAUGGCUCAGCCAGCCACAGUUCACUUACCAGCUAAUAUAGUUGUAAUGUGUUGCUUGGUAUGGAGAGAAGGCAGUCACUUUAGGGUGUUUGGGAUGUUUCAUGCACAUAUAUAAAUAAAUUCUCUUUUGGUAAGAACGUUUUAAGUUGAUAUAUCAUCUUCUUUGAAUAGCAAGUCAUCAAUUUUCCUGGAAAUCUGGUGAAACAACAGUUAUAUGACCAGCCUUAUGUUUUGUUGCAUGUGCAUGUAAACAAAAAAAGAAAGAAACAAAAGAAAAAGCCGACUGACUUUUUCCUUUUCUGUUUUAGAAUCGGUUCCAAACAGUCAAGCCUGCCAGAAAAAACAGACAAACUCUCAAGAACAACAAUGCCUAUUAUGUGUGGUGGAGGAGCCGCCAGAUUUUGAUUACCGGACAGACAUUAACUCCUUUGGUGUCUCAUGCAAGAAAUGCCAAGUCUGAAUCCAGAUAUUUUCCAGAAUAGCAUGAGAUCUGCAAUUUACAGUGUCUUCUGCAAAAAAAAAAAAAAAAAGCAACUGAGAGAAGGAAGUGCAAGUUAAAGACCACAUCUCCUGGUUUCUCGAAUUCUGCCAUGACUCUUCCUGGUAAAUGGACAGACUGAGUACCUGUGCUCUUCCUUUUGCAGGCCUUAGGUUGUGGGCCAGAAGCACGUUACUCUACCCACCUGUCCCACCUGUGUUGUCUUGAUGUCUAAAGGACUGUCACAUUCUGCCCUCAUUGAGAAAAUGCAUGGGUUCCUGGAGGCUACCUCUUACAGUAAAACUUUGAGAAAGAAGAAUCCUUGCAAACUCUGUGAUCAGCAUCUCCCCCCCCCCACCCCAAUAGACUCCCUGAAGGCUGUCAGACUCCAUCCUGCU